CCAGGCUCCGGCCCAACCACCGGGCACGAGAAGCAGCGCGCGCAGAGGGAGGGAGUUCGGUUGAAGCGGCGGUUCCAUGCGGAAGUGGCGGGUGCAGCGCCCAGGCCGCCCCGGAAUCCCACAUCAGACUAGGAAAGGUGGCCUGGGUGGGGAAGAUUUAGAGAAGGGCGCACUGACACGUCGCCAGCACUUCCGGUGCUCUAGAUCUUGGGACCCAGUCAGCUCCGAAGGGGGCGUUGCUGCCUUUUCCAAUCCCCCCCCUCCAUUUUCCCUCAGAAAGCAAGAGCACAGGCUCUAGCAGGGGAAACAGUGGCUUGUCCCCGUGUGGAUCAUAGGAGCCAGUCUCUCCCUGGGAUGCCAUUUGUACAGGUGGCAGGACGCGAGUCCCACGAGGGAAAUCCCAGUGAGGCAAGGCGGCACUGAGGAGGAGAACAAAACUAAAGCCUUUAACCCUCCCUCCUGCCUCAGGUGCCUGGAAGCACACCUGGAAUACCGUGGAGUUCUGUGGUCCACAGACGGACAGCAUCGGAAUCUUCUGAGAUUUGGUUAAGGAUGGAAAAUCAUGGCUCUUACCCCAUGCAUGACAUCAGAAUCAGCGGCAAUUCCAAAUGGGUGACUUAAUGAACCCUCAGGUAGGCUGGUGAGAUGGCUCAAUGGGUGAAGGCUCUUGCUGCCAGACCUAACAACCUGAGUUUGAGGGCCAGGAACUCCAUGGUAGAAAAAGAGAGCUGACUCCCAAACGCCAUCCUCUGGCCGUGCUGCACGUACCCACAGGCGUGCACACGAAAUAAACAAACACA
ensembl:lncRNA